CCUACGGGAGGCAGCAGUCGGGAAUAUUGCGCAAUGGGGGAAACUCUGAUGCAGCAACGCCGCGUGCGUGAAGAAGGAUUUCGGAAUGUAAAGUUCUUUCGGCAGGGAAGAAAAAAGACGGUACCUGUCUAAUAAGCCCCGGCUAACUACGUGCCAGCAGCCGCGGUAAUACGUAGGGAGCAAGCGUUAUCCGGAUUUACUGGGUGUAAAGGGAGCGUAGACGGGAAGACAAGUCGGUAGUGAAAUACCCGGGCUCAACCUGGGAAUUGC
rnacentral:rRNA from 1 species